GAUGAACGCUGGCGGCGUGCCUAAUACAUGCAAGUCGAGCGAACGGACGCGAAGUUUGCUUCUUUCACGUUUGCGGCGCACGGGUGAGUAACACGUGUAUAAUCCACCUAUAAGACUGGUAACUUUACGGGAAUCCGGCGCUUACACCGGAUAAUAUCUUGAACCGCAUGGUUCAAAAGUGAAUGACGGCCUUGCUGUCUCUAAUAGAUGGAUACGCGCUGGAUUAGCUAGUUGUUAAGGUAACGGCUUAUCACGGCAACGAUGCAUAGCCGACCUGAGAGAGUGAUCGGCCACACUAGAACUGGGACGCGGUCCAGGCUCCUACGAGAGGCAGCAGUAGGGAAUGUUACGCAAUAGGGGAGAACAUGACGGAGCGACGCGGCGUGAGUGAUGAAAGUCUUCGGAUCGUGAAGCUCUGUUAUUAGGGAAAAACAGAUGUGUAAGUAACUGUGCACAGCGUGACGGUACCUAGUCAGAAAGCCACGGCUAACUACGCG
rnacentral:rRNA from 1 species